GAGGUAGAGGGGAGUGGUGAGAAUUGGCCAAACUGAUAUUUGAAUAAAUUCAUCCUAUGAACAGAUUAUUAAUAGGUCAUUUUAAUGAAUCUGAGCUGAAAGCCCUCAAAAUAUCCAUUUGGGGGCCACCUGAAGAAUUCUGAUUGGUAGUAGAAGUUGGUCUUUCUUCAGAGCUUUGCCCAGGUUCUGCUCAAUGGCCAAGGCCUCUGGGUCCACCAUGGACACAUCAGGGUGGCGUGGAGAAGGGCUGCGGUCUUGCAUGGGGGCCGGAGGACCACUGGAUGCACAGAGGGCCAGUUUCAGAGACACACUUGCUUAGUGAUGCUGGUUGUUUAAAUGCUAAAUUAUUUCCACGCUAGAGGUGAGCAGCCUGUGUCCUGAGUCCUCCUAUUCCUCCCUCUGCCAUAACCCGGACCCCAUCACCAUCCGUUCCUGCCCAGCAGGGGAACUCCAGAGCUCUGUUCCAGUUCUAAGACGAGUGACCAUCUGGACAAUAGGAGCUUCUGCCACAGCAGUUAUGAAACAUUUUGAAUAUUACCCCUGGGGACUUGCCAUACAAAGAUGCCCUUUAAAAAACAUUAAA